rnacentral:lncRNA from 1 species
ACUAGCUUCAAGGCUUUGGAUCACCUGAUGGUUUAAGAAGAGAAAGAAGGGUUACCCUUGGGAUUCUACCAACAUGACAAACAAACAUCAGUAGCAGAAACCAGUCGUCUUAGUCAGCAACUGUUGACAGGUGUGGAAUCAGCAUCUGACUGACUGACAGUCACCUUCACAGAGGAGUCCCUCUGGCAUGUACCUCAGUGCUGGGUCAAUAUGAUGACAUUUUCACGAUUUAACUUUCAUUAUUGACAGAAUCAUGAUCCUUAUGCCACUUGGCUCAUAAAGACAUGUGAAAGAGAACUGAUAUCUAGCUUGACUGUGUUUGAACAAGAAAGACAGAAAGCAAAGUCACAUUGUUGAACAGUGAUUUGUCUCAGCACACUACAAAAAGGUAAAGAGAGUCCUCCCCAGCCACAUACAAGAGAUCUUUGGAAGGGCAAGAGCUUUCUUUGAACAGUAUAAUUUCAGAUUAGAAGAGUGAUUCCAUAUAUUUACUAAUAAAUAAUCAUCUGAUAACCUGUUAAAUUACCUG